GAUGAACGCUGGCGGCGUGCCUAAUACAUGCAAGUCGAGCGAACAGACGAGGAGCUUGCUCCUCUGACGUUAGCGGCGGACGGGUGAGUAACACGUGGAUAACCUACCUAUAAGACUGGGAUAACUUCGGGAAACCGGAGCUAAUACCGGAUAAUAUAUUGAACCGCAUGGUUCAAUAGUGAAAGACGGUUUUGCUGUCACUUAUAGAUGGAUCAGCGCCGCAUUAGCUAGUUGGUAAGGUAACGGCUUCCCAAGGCGACGAUGCGUAGCCGACCUGAGAGGGUGAUCGGCCACACUGGAACUGAGACACGGUCCAGACUCCUACGGGAGGCAGCAGUAGGGAAUCUUCCGCAAUGGGCGAAAGCCUGACGGAGCAACGCCGCGUGAGUGAUGAAGGUCUUCGGAUCGUAAAACUCUGUUAUUAGGGAAGAACAAAUGUGUAAGUAACUAUGCACGUCUUGACGGUACCUAAGCAGAAAGCCACGGCUAACUACGU
rnacentral:rRNA from 1 species